AGGCCUGUAGCUCUAAGGUAGAGCAGCGGACUCCAAAUCCGUGGGUUGGGGGUUCAAGUCCCUCCAGGCCUG
rnacentral:tRNA from 1 species